rnacentral:rRNA from 1 species
AUGGCACGUAUGCAGAACUACACACGGGCCCUAUGCUUCGUAGCUCUUGUAGCCAUGGCCACCACUGUCUUCUCAGAUCAUGCAGCAGCGCGUUACAUAGAUACUGACCUGUGUACACCUGUGGAGUAUUGUUCGCCACCAGUCCGAGCUAGUGGCAACAUUGCGUGCAAGGCUAACUGUGUUAACCGAGGUUAUGACAAGGAUAAGAGCAGUUGCCUUGAAGGCAGUAGUGGCACAUGCUGUUGCGGAAAGAACUGA